UGCCAGCAGCCGCGGUAAUACGGAGGGGGUUAGCGUUGUUCGGAAUUACUGGGCGUAAAGCGCACGUAGGCGGAUUAGUAAGUUAGAGGUGAAAUCUUGCAGCUCAACUGUAAAAUUGCCAUUGAUACUGGAUUUCUUGAAUUAGUGUGAAGUGGUUAGAAUGUGUAGUGUAGCGGUGAAAUGCAUAGAUAUUACACAGAAUACCAAUUGCGAAGGCAGAUCACUAACACUAUAUUGACGCUGAGGGACGAAAGCGUGGGGAGCGAACAGGAUUAGAUA
rnacentral:rRNA from 1 species